AUGGAGACUCACCGUAGAGACACGCGCCAAAAACAACAGGUUUAAACCGGAACCGCGCUGCACGUGACAACAAAGACGACGUCGGUCCCACCUGGACCAAAUGAAUUACUUGUAAUGGCCAUCGGCCAACCUUCCGGUAUCCGUACAGUGUAUAGAUAGAGAUAGAGAGAGAGAGAGAGAGAGAGAGAGAGAGAGGGAGGCGCGAGCGGUGGAGUCUGAAGGAAUGAUAACAGAGCGCGUGGGCGGCAAGGUGCAGAGGCGGGAAAUCCGUGAGCGGCGCGCGCAGGUGCCUGAUAUCUGAGAAUAUUGCAGUUUCAUGCAAAUCCACCUUUCAGGCGUGACGUAUGGACGGGUCUGCAGUCAGCUGGAGGAAGCGCAGCUCUACCUUCUCUCACCUGAGCACAUAAGAGCAGAGAGAUUCAGUGCCAGGAUAUAAAGCCAGAGACAGGACGAAUAACAGAAUCAGCUCUCAGUAAUGAGAAUGUUUUUUAUGGUCAUACUCUAAAAAGGAAGUGCAGCCUUCUCUCUCCUGAAGACUUCCACAUGGUGGAAAACCUUCUGGUUGUUGCAAAUCUCUGACACCAGAGACUCCAACUGUGAAAGUGUCUCCUGUCUGUGACCCAGCUAUCAGCACUGCUGCUACAGGAAACGAAUCAACUUCUGACUAAUCCCACGUGAGACCAGAAGCAGUACAGCUUCGAACAGAGAUGAAGAUGAAGACCAGGCUGAUGCUGUUACCACCUUCAUCACACUGAGUACACAGUUGUACAUGUAAAUAAUACAGAAGGCGCCAAGGUACAAGGGCCACGUGCUUCCUACUGCUGCUUCGGAGGAGUGAGCGUGUGCCUGUGUGUGCCUGUGUGUGCCUGUGUGUGCCUGUGUGUGUGUGUUACUGGAUGCAGGACGUGGCUAGAGGGGGACGCAUUCCUGAACUUCUGAAUUCCACACACAAUCAACGACUCUUUUCUGUCUAACUGUGCAACAUACCUUUCUCUCUCUCUCUCUCUCUCUCUCUCUCUCUCUCUCUCUCACACACACAUCUCUUCUUACACUACUGUUUAAAUGUGUCUGCAUUUCAAUCCUAUUUUAAAUCUAUAUAUUUAUAUCUAAAAGACAAAAUGCCGAGCGUAAACGAGGAUGUGACUCCACAGGAGGUCAUUAAAAUAACCAGCUAACGAGAAGAGCUUAUUGAAAGCAGCAGGAGACCUGGUUGGAUCGUCUCUCUAACUAGAGCUAUGCUUCCUGCGCCUGGAAAACCUUCACCAGUUCACAGGCAGCAGAUUUACAUUGCAGUUGAAGAUCUAAAGGUUUACCGAUGUUCACCUCUACACACACAUGAUGGUGAACGCUGUAUAACAUCGACACUGCUGAGGAAGGAGGAAGGCGGCAAUUCAUUCAAAAUGUUCACUUCUAUCAUAAUAUCUGCAAAAAAUAAAUAUAGCAACAUGCAGGGAAAUCUCUAUACAUCUAAUAAGUCGAUCUCAAAUCUGAGCUCUAAUAUGUUAACGUUUCCAUAGUAACAGCUCAUUCAUGGGGAAAUAAUGACAGUGAAGGAGUCUCCAGUAUCAGUGCUCUCUGAUAUUUAUCUGACCCAGCCAAAUAUCUGACUUAUCCUCACUUUUAUUCUGAGCCAAUCUGUGACUCAUUCUCAUUUUUAUUCAGACUCGAUCUUUAACUCAGCCUUACUUUUAUUUAGAGUCAAUCUCUGAGUCUAACCCACUUUACCUCCGUUGUCUUCUGAAAUAAAUGUCCGGCUGUGUUCUGAAUCCUCUAUAAGGACAUUGUUCUGACGGUUUUGUCACCUGAAUUUGUGAGAGUUCUUAACAAAUAAGAAAGUAUGAUCAUAUAAACCCAAUUCUAUCAUCUUUAUGCUGGUUACCUGUUAAGUUUAGAAUUGAUUACAAACUGCUGCUACUCACACACAAGGCUCUUAAUGGUUUAGCUCCCAUGUAUCUAACUAGUCUUCUAACACGCUACAAUCCUUCACGCUCUGUGAGAUCACAAAAUUCAGGACUUCUGGUAGUUCCCAGAAUAACUAAGUCUACUAAAGGUGAUAGAGCGUUUUCUUAUACACUAUUUUCCUGAUAGUGUUCGUUGCUCAGACACACUUUCUAAGUUUAAAUGUAGAUUAAAAACAUCUCUUUAGUCAGGCGUACACAUAUACAUAAUACUUCCCAUAAUAUUGUGCUCUAGUACAUCAGACCAAACGCACAUUAUCAUCUAGUGCUUGCUAAUAUUAUGAACAGCAGCUAUGUUAAUUCCUCUCCACUGCUUCUCUCUUCUCUUCUACUCAUCCCGAGGCAUCCAGAACUUGUACCAGCUCCGAUUGUCUUCCGCGCCAUGAAGAUUCUGGACCUCCACUGAGAUGAGGCCGACUCUGUGAGGAUCCUGAGACAUCUAGAGAUGUUCCAGUUCCAGUUAGACUCUGCUGUACAAAAGAGGAGCUCCAACUCCAUGUGGUCCUUAAGGACAACAGUCUCCUCAUCAAUACAACAUUUGUCAGACUGUAUAUUUAUAAUCACACCCUACAGUGUCACCCAUAUGAGGAUGGGUUCCGC